UACGUAGGGUGCGAGCGUUAUCCGGAUUCACUGGGUUUAAAGGGUGCGUAGGUGGGCAUGUAAGUCAGUGGUGAAAUCUCUGAGCUUAACUCAGAAACUGCCAUUGAUACUAUGUUUCUUGAAUUUUCUGGAGGUCAGCGGAAUAUGUCAUGUAGCGGUGAAAUGCUUAGAUAUGACAUAGAACACCAAUUGCGAAGGCAGCUGGCUACAGGGAUAUUGACACUGAGGCACGAAAGCGUGGGGAUCAAACAGG
rnacentral:rRNA from 1 species